AAAUAAUAAUUUAAUUUUAUUAUUUAUAUUUAUUAUAAAUAUAAAUUUAGUUAAAAUAAUUUUUGGAAUAAUUUAAUAAAAAUAUUUUUUGUUAUAAGGUUUUAGUAAAAGAAAAAUAAAAUAAUGAAGUAGAUUUUAUAGUUAAGAGUAAAGAAAUUAAAAAUUGAAAUAAUUGAAAAAAUAAAUUAAAAAUAAGAAUAAUUUAAUUUUAGUUCCUUGUGUAUCAGGAUUAAUUAAAUUAAAAAUUUUAAAGUAAAAUUAUUUAUAAUUUAAUGAAAAUUAAAAAUUUUUGAGUUUUAUUGUUUAAAAAAUAUUAAAAAAAAAUUUUUGAAAAUUAAAAGUUAAUUGUUCUUAAAGUUAUAUAAUUUUUAAAGAAAUAAAUUUAAUUUAAAAUAAUUUUUUAUUAUUUUUAUAUUUUUUUAUAAAAAUAAUUAAAUUAUUAUAAUAUUUUAUGGGUUGAGCUUUAAAAUAAAUAAUUAAAAAUUAAUAAUUUUAUUUUAAAAAUUUUUAAAAUAAAAAUAGAAAUAAUCUUAAAAAUAGAUAGUUUUAAUUAAAAUGUUUUAAUUAAUUUUUUUUUUAAUUAUUAUUUAUUUUUAUUUUUAAUUUUUUAUUUAAAAAAUUAUUAGAAUAUAAAAAAUAAUUUUAUAAUAAUUAAAUUAGUAAAUUUUGUUAAUAAAAUAAAAAAAUAAAAAUUUAUAAAUUUUUAAAUAAUAAAUUCGGCAAUAUUAUUUUUAUCUGUUUAACAAAAACAUUGUUUUUUAAAUUUUUUUUAAAAAAUAAGGCCUGCACACUGAAUUUAAAUUUAAAGAGCCGCGGUAUUUUGACCGUGCAAAGGUAGCAUAAUCAUUAGUUUUUUAAUUGAAGACUAGAAUGAAAGGUUUAAUAAAAAAUAAUCUUUAUUAUAUAAAUUAAAAUUGAAUUUGUUGAUUUAGUAAAAAAACUAAAAUAUUAAUAAAAGACGAUAAGACCCUAUAAAGCUUUAUAUAAUUAUUAUUAAUUAUAAUUUUAGAAUAAUUUUAUUUUUAUUUAAUAAAUUUAUUAAAUUGGGGUGAUUUAAAGAUUUAAUAAACUCUUUAUUUAAUUUAAAUUACUUAUAAGUAGUUAAAAAUGAUCUUUAUUAUUUGGAUUAAAAAAUUAAGUUACUUUAGGGAUAACAGCGUAAUUUUUUUUGAGAGUUCAAAUCGAUAAAAAAGUUUGCGACCUCGAUGUUGGAUUAAGAUAAAUAUUUAGGUGUAGAAGUUUAAAUAUUUAGUCUGUUCGACUAUUAUUUCUUACAUGAUCUGAGUUCAAACCGGUUUAAGCCAGGUUGGUUUCUAUCUUUAUAAAAAUAUUAUAUUAUAGUACGAAAGGACCUAAUAUUAAAAAUUUAAAUUUUUAUCUAAGAAAUAAAAAAUUAAAAUUUAAAAAUUUUUAAUAAAAAUAUUAAAAUAAA
rnacentral:rRNA from 1 species